rnacentral:rRNA from 1 species
CCUACGGGAGGCAGCAGUGGGGAAUAUUGGACAAUGGGCGAAAGCCUGAUCCAGCAAUGCCGCGUGAGUGAUGAAGGCCUUAGGGUUGUAAAGCUCUUUUACCCGRGAUGAUAAUGACAGUACCGGGAGAAUAAGCUCCGGCUAACUCCGUGCCAGCAGCCGCGGUAAU